rnacentral:lncRNA from 1 species
GAAAGCCCAUCGCCUGAGAGGAGAAGGUAACAUUCCGGUGAGAAAUAUCCCUUCUCUGUACCCCUAAACAUACCAAGCACUGCCAAGAGGAACAUAUAUACAAAGCCCUUCGACUCAGACCAUCUCAUGGGUCUCACAACACUUCUCCRCAUCUCUGAGCUGUGAAAUGAAACAAUCACAAGAGGGUUGUUCGUUCUUCCUGAAACAAGCUUCACAAACUGUGGAAAAUGAAAGCUAAGGCUGAACUUCUAAAACAAGCUGAAAGCGCAGAAAUGCAGAGUGAAGCCAUUCAAAAGCAUCAAAUUUGGAAAAGAGCCCUGAAAAACCCUGCAGUCAUGACUAAUGCAGUUUUAAUGUGUGCGCUUCUAGAGAUCCCUCUGAUCCUGUGAUACAGAACCACUGAAGCUGGCAAAAUGCCCUAGGAGGGGGAGCUGUGGUAAAG